rnacentral:rRNA from 1 species
CCCUUAGAUGUCCUGGGCCGCACGCGCGUUACACUGAUGCAUUCAACGAGCUUAUAACCUUGGCCGAGAGGCCUGGGCAAUCUUGUUAACGUGCAUCGUGAUAGGGAUAGAUUAUUGAAACUAUUAAUCUUGAACGAGGAAUUCCUAGUAAACGCAGAUCAUCAAUCUGCAUUGAUUACGUCCCUGCCCUUUGUACACACCGCCCGUCGCACCUACCGAUUGGAUGGUCCGGUGAAGCCUCGGGAUUGUGGUUCUUGCCGCUUUAUUGUGGCGUGACCGCGAGAACUUGUCUAAACCUUAUCAUCUAGAGGAAGGUGAAGUCGUAACA